AACAGGAUUAGAUACCCUGGUAGUCCACGCCGUAAACGAUGUCGACUUGGAGGCUGUUCCCUUGAGGAGUGGCUUCCGGAGCUAACGCGUUAAGUCGACCGCCUGGGGAGUACGGCCGCAAGGUUAAAACUCAAAUGAAUUAACGGGGGCCCGCACAAGCGGUGGAGCAUGUGGUUUAAUUCGAUGCAACGCGAAGAACCUUACCUACUCUUGACAUCCAGAGAAUUUAGCAGAGAUGCUUUAGUGCCUUCGGGAACUCUGAGACAGGUGCUGCAUGGCUGUCGUCAGCUCGUGUUGUGAAAUGUUGGGUUAAGUCCCGCAACGAGCGCAACCCUUAUCCUUUGUUGCCAGCACGUAAUGGUGGGAACUCAAAGGAGACUGCCGGUGAUAAACCGGAGGAAGGUGGGGAUGACGUCAAGUCAUCAUGGCCCUUACGAGUAGGGCUACACACGUGCUACAAUGGCGCAUACAAAGAGAAGCGACCUCGCGAGAGCAAGCGGACCUCAUAAAGUGCGUCGUAGUCCGGAUUGGAGUCUGCAACUCGACUCCAUGAAGUCGGAAUCGCUAGUAAUCGUAAAUCAGAAUGUUACGGUGAAUACGUUCCCGGGCCUUGUACACACCGCCCGUCACACCAUGGGAGUGGGUUGCAAAAGAAGUAGAUAGCUUAACCUUCGGGAGGGCGUUUACCACUUUGUGAUUCAUGACUGGGGUGAAGUCGUAACAAGGUAACCGUAGGGGAACCUGCGGCUGGAUCACCUCCUU
rnacentral:rRNA from 1 species